GAUAGAAAAGCAUACUGGUUUGCAUGCUGGACUAUAACUCUGGAGACCAGGGUUCAAAUCCCUGAUCUGCCA